AAAGUCCCGCAAGGGGCAAGUAGAGUGGCAAACGGGUGAGUAACACGUGGGUGACCUGCCUUCGAGUGGGGGAUAACGUCCCGAAAGGGACGCUAAUACCGCAUGACAUCCUGCCUUUGGAAAGGCGGAGAUCAAAGCCGGGGAUCGCAAGACCUGGCGCUUGAAGAGGGGCCCGCGCCUGAUUAGCUAGUUGGUGGGGUAACGGCCUACCAAGGCGACGAUCAGUAUCCGGCCUGAGAGGGCGGACGGACACACUGGGACUGAGACACGGCCCAGACUCCUACGGGAGGCAGCAGUGGGGAAUUGUUCGCAAUGGGCGCAAGCCUGACGACGCAACGCCGCGUGGAGGACGAAGAUCUUCGGGUCGUAAACUCCUGUCGAGCGGGAAGAAUGCUUCGCGGGUGAAUACUCCGCGAAAUUGACGGUACCGCUAAAGGAAGCCCCGGCUAACUCCGUGCCAGCAGCCGCGGUAAUACGGGGGGGGCAAGCGUUGUUCGGAAUUACUGGGCGUAAAGGGCUCGUAGGCGGCCAACUAAGUCAGACGUGAAAUCCCCAGGCUUAACCUGGGAACUGCGUCUGAUACUGGAUGGCUUGAAUUCGGGAGAGGGAUGCAGAAUUCCAGGUGUAGCGGUGAAAUGCGUAGAUAUCUGGAGGAAUACCGGUGGCGAAGGCGGCAUCCUGGACCGACAUUGACGCUGAGGAGCGAAAGCUAGGGGAGCAAACGGGAUUAGAUACCCCGGUAGUCCUAGCCCUAAACGAUGAAUGCUUGGUGUGGCGGGUAUCGAUCCCUGCCGUGCCGAAGCUAACGCA
rnacentral:rRNA from 1 species